GAGAUAGAUAGCUACGCUUACAUUAUGUGAGUGAAGGGGAUGUAGAUACGUUUUUUUUGUCCUUAUCUGCGUGGCCACUUUUUUGAUGGCCUACUGUCAAAUCUGGGCAAAACAAACAAAGCAGCUGGGUCUUUUUCAAAAAAAAUGUUCAUACGAAAAUUGCGUGUCCUAAGACUUCAAGCCUCUAUUCUUCAGGCAAAUGCAGUUCAAACUUAGUGUUUUAAUCAGAAAACGAUAAAAUACGUUUUAAAUUUAUUAUUAAAAUCUUGAGAAGUACGAAAGUCUGUGGAAUAUUGAUUAAAUUAAUAAUUACUAGGAAGAUGAAAGAUGAUUUUUACGUGUCCCACGCAGGUUUUGUAAAGUUCCGAACGUAAAAUAUCACCGUAUAUCCGACCUUUUGUUCAAUAAUUUUAUGUAAUUUGGCAGGAUUAUAUGAUCUAAAUUGAAUAAUAAACUUAAUUCAUAGGGUACUAGAGUACAAAAUUAUUUAAAAUACACGUUUUAUCUUGUCCCUCAAAAUAACGUUGAUGGAAAAUUCCAUAUACGCUACACUGUUUUACUGAUUUUGAGUAGAAAAUUGAAUGAACUAAGAGUAUUUUUUUAGUGUUAGCAACAUUUUAGAACGUGAAUGUCCGCCAUAUUUGUUAAAAGACAGCAGUUUUGUCUAAACAGUGAGAGUGAGCGGUCGGGCGUCACGAAGUCCUGUUCGCAAUUUCCACUACGAACUUGAUUUUAUUAAACCAGACUAUGGUGUUGACGGCAGCGGAGCGGUCGAAAAGAUACCGAGAAAAAAAUAAACAGGACCCAGUAAAAAAAGAAAUU